rnacentral:rRNA from 1 species
UCUCAGUUCGGAUUGUAGUCUGCAACUCGACUACAUGAAGCUGGAAUCGCUAGUAAUCGCGAAUCAGAAUGUCGCGGUGAAUACGUUCCCGGGUCUUGUACACACCGCCCGUCACACCAUGGGAGUUGGGAAUGCCCGAAGCCGGUGACCUAACCGAAAGGGAGGAGCCGCCGAAGGCAGGCUUGAUAACUGGGGUGAAGUCGUAACAAGGUAUC